rnacentral:rRNA from 1 species
AAUCAACGCUGGCGGCGUGCCUCAGACAUGCAAGUCGAACGAUUAAAGCUCUCUUCGGAGAGUGUAUAGAGUGGCGCACGGGUGAGUAACACGUAAGUAAUCUACCCUCGAGUGGGGAAUAACGUCCGGAAACGGACGCUAAUACCGCAUAAUGCAGCGGCACCGCAAGGUGACAGUUGUUAAAGAUUUAUCGCUUGAGGAGGAGCUUGAGGCAGAUUAGCUAGUUGGUAAGGUAAUGGCUUACCAAGGCUACGAUCUGUAACCGGUCUAAGAGGACGGUCGGUCACACUGACACUGAAUAACGGGUCAGACUCCUACGGGAGGCAGCAGUCGGGAAUUUUGGGCAAUGGGCGAAAGCCUGACCCAGCAACGCCGCGUGAAGGAUGAAGUAUUUCGGUAUGUAAACUUCGAAAGAAUAGGAAGAAUAAAUGACGGUACUAUUUAUAAGGUUCGGCUAACUACGUGCCAGCAGCCGCCGUAAUAC